AGGGGAUUAGUUUAGAAAAAUCGUAGGGUUGUCGACUCUGAGAGACUUUAGGUAGUAUCCCCUU
rnacentral:tRNA from 1 species